rnacentral:rRNA from 1 species
CCUACGGGAGGCAGCAGUAGGGAAUCUUCCACCAUGGGCGAAAGCCUGAUGGAGCAACGCCGCGUGGGUGAAGAAGGUCUUCUGAUCGUAAAACCCUGUUGUUAGAGAAGAACGUGCGUGAGAGUAACUGUUCACGUUUCGAUGGUAUCUAACCAGAAAGCCACGGCUAACUACGUGCCAGCAGCCGCGGUAAUCCGUAGGUGGCAAGCGUUAUCCGGUGUUAUUGGGGGUAAAGGGAACGCAGGCGGUCUUUUAAGUCUGAUGUGAAAGCCUUCGGCUUAACCGGAGUAGUGCAUUGGAAACUGGGAGACUUGAGGGCAGAAGAGGAGAGUGGAACGCCAUGUGUAGCGGUGAAAUGCGUAGAUAGAUGGAAGAACACCAGUGGAGAAGGCGGCUCUCUGGUCUGUAACUGACGCUGAGGUUCGAAAGCGUGGGUAGCAAACAGGAUUAGAUACCCCGGGAGUC